CCCGUGGAAUGCCGCGGGCGGCCGGUUCCGCGCGACCCCCGCCCCUUCCCGGACUCCCCAGCCGAGGCGAGGGGCGGGGGCGCUGGGGACCCCGAGAGAGGGCGUGGGGGAUUGACGGAGGAGCGCUGAGAUCUCCAGCAUUCCCGGACUCGGACUGCUUGCUGAGGCUGCAGUCGAGAUUUGGGGCUGUCUCGUCUUUCCGGGCUUGAACAUAAAAUUCUCGCCCAUGGCGCAGUGGAAAGCUUUGAAGUCCGAGGUUGUGGGAUCAGAGUUGCCCCCUCGGGGGAUAAGUGACCUUGGAAAGGUCACUUCCCUUUACCCAGCCUGCCAAGUCGACAGCAGAAGGCAUGAGUAACCUGAAGCCAUGGAAACCCCAUUGGAACGUCUUUUCAUGGCUGAAUAUGAAGGCAGCUCAGACCGAGAAGACUGGUGCCCACCGCUCGCCUCCGGGCAUCCCUCCUGGCGGAGUUGGGAAGUCUGGGAUCCUUCGCCUCUCUCUCUGAUCGUGCGGAGCCAUAGCUGCAGAAGCAGCAGCUCUGCCCCCUGCUGGACACGUGAGGCAGCCCGCACUUUUCCUGUUCCAGAUGCAGCGCCCUUGUGGUGCUGGGGGGAAGAGAUUUUUUGGCUCACUCUGAUGGAAACAGCAAAACUGGGCGGAAUAAAAAUCCCAGGUUUUUUUUCUCUCUA